rnacentral:other from 1 species
GCACCUCUGCCGUGUUCGACGCUCGCGUCAAUUCUUGAACCUUGACGAAUCAACUUGGGAGCCGACUCCUCGGCAGCAAGUCCCGCCGUCCAUCACGAGACGGACUUCUUCGCGAGCCGGGUAGGCGCCCACCUCGUUGUCGGGUUCAAAGUUCGCACCAUGGGUGACGGCACUCAGGCGGAGGUCUU